rnacentral:rRNA from 1 species
AUUGAACGCUGGCGGCAUGCUUUACACAUGCAAGUCGAACGGCAGCGCGGGGCUUCGGCCUGGCGGCGAGUGGCGAACGGGUGAGUAAUAUAUCGGAACGUACCCAAGAGUGGGGGGAUAACGUAGCGAAAGUUACGCUAAUACCGCAUACGAUCUAAGGAUGAAAGCAGGGGAUCGCAAGACCUUGUGCUCCUGGAGCGGCCGAUAUCUGAUUAGCUAGUUGGUGGGUAAAGGCCCACCAAGGCAACGAUCAGUAGCUGGUCUGAGAGGACGACCAGCCACACUGGAACUGAGACACGGUCCAGACUCCUACGGGAGGCAGCAGUGGGGAAUUUUGGACAAUGGGGGCAACCCUGAUCCAGCAAUGCCGCGUGAGUGAAGAAGGCCUU